AUGUCAACAAAUGAUGGAUUAACUAAGUCGCUGACAAUCUUGACUAUUUCUUUAAACUACACCUCUAUUAUUAGGCAAGGAUGUCUUGAAAUCACCGCACAACGUUUCAAGAUGAAUGAUGCAGGACACCUCCAGUGCAAAGCAUCGCCACCAAAGCAGUGCGUCAGAGACACGAAAGGGUUAGUUAGCCAUCUGCCAUAUCCAUCCCAACACCUCCUUUAUUUAGCCAAUGAAGUUAACAGGAGUCAGUGAGAAGAAGUCCUUAAGUUUUGUGAUUUAUAGCGCAAUGACUACGAGCUUGUGCUCAAGGACGACUAAACUUGUGAUCAAGUUUUAAAUGGAAUCUUAAAAACACUGCCACUAUAGGCAAUUAAAUUAUUAAUACUAAAAAAUCUACAACAUGUUUAUUACAUGUAUAUACUGGGCAGGAGUUGUGGAAAUACAUUAAAUAUUAAGUGCACAUGGAUCCAUAUUUAUAUAAAAAGGUUAUUAUAUGUUUUUGCUGGUCAAACUGGAAGUUAGCAUCACCCUUGUUCCCUCAAAAAAAAAAAAAAGUAGUAGUCCUGUAGACACUCAAGCUUUAUAUGAUUCCUGCAUCUGAUAUCAUUAAUGCAGUCACCUUCAUUGAGAUGGCAGCGUGAUAUAAUUAGAAUCAAAGUUUAUAUUCCAAACACAUUCUUCAUAACUCUGUAUGACAUCACUAGCAGAAAUCUUAUAUAUAGCCAUAGAAUUCUCAUAUGUGCGGGACUGAACAAAAAGAGUGAGGACAUUCACACUUUAGGGAGUGUUUUCUCUUCACUUAAUCAAAUGAGCUUGAAUUGUUUAUAGCACCCCAUCCAGUCCUGGCCCGAUUUAGACACACACACACACACACACACACACACACACACACACACACAAUACACACACACACACACACACACACAAUAAUAAGGAAUAAUAAACAACGUAGUGUUAGUCUUACUAAAGACACAUAUUCAGUGACACACACACACACACACACACACACACGUUUAUGGCGGUGAGUCAAAAACCUCAUAAAUAACUUUCACAAAACAUGCAAACAGUUACUGAUUAUCAUCAAUAAAGCUUCACACUGACCAUUAUAAGAACCAAGGGAAUGUAAACUUAUAUCCAAGAUUGAAUAAAAAAUUCUGUAAUUAUUUUGUCUUGUGAAAUGUUAUGUUAUUUCAGAUAGCAGGACUUAAUAAAACAAAAAGGAAUUUUGUUAAAGUACCACUUAAGGGAAUUUGCAAGGGGAAUAAUGGAACCCUUUAAACUCAACUGUAUUAGUGCUGUCAGACGAUUAAUCGCAUCCAAAAUAAAAGUUUUUGUUUAAUAAUAUUUGUGUGUGUUCUGUGUAUAUUUAUAAUGUAUAUAUAAAUACACACACAUACAGUAUAUAUUUUGAAAAUAAUUACGUCUGUAUUUAUAUAUGUAUAAUUUAUAUUUAAAAAUUAUAUAUAUAUAUAUUUAAUAUAUAAACAAAACAUAUUCUUCUGAAAUGUAUACAUGCAUCUGUGUGUAUUUAUCUAUACAUAUACACAGCACACAUACAUAUAAACAAAAACUUUUAUUUUGGAUGUGAUGAAUCGUUUGACAGCACUAAUAUUAACAUAUAGCAUAGACUCUCAAUGUUGUAGUCAGAGAAGUUUAAAAAAAAAUUAAUACAGGC
rnacentral:lncRNA from 1 species